GACGAACGCUGGCGGCGUGCCUAAUACAUGCAAGUCGAACGCAGUGGGGACGGGUGAGUAACACGUGGGUAACCUCCCAUCAGAGGGGAUAACACUUGGAAACAGGUGCUAAACCGAUACUGAUGGAUGGACCCGCGGUGCAUUAGCUAGUUGUGGAGGUAACGGCUCACCAAGGCCACGAUGCAUAGCAGACCUGGAGGGGGUAGCGGCCACACGGGGACUGGGCCACGGCACAGGAUCCUACGGGAGGCAGCAGUAGGGAAUCUUCGGCAAAGGACGAAAGUCUGACCGAGCACAGCCGCGUGAGUGAAGAAGGUGUUCGGAUCGUAAAACACUGUUGUUAGAGAAGCGGUAUCUAACCAGAAAGCCACGGCUAACUACGUGCCAGCAGCCGCGGUAAUUC
rnacentral:rRNA from 1 species